rnacentral:rRNA from 1 species
CCUACGGGUGGCAGCAGUGGGGAAUAUUGCACAAUGGGCGAAAGCCUGAAGCAGCAAAGCCGCGUGAGCGAUGAAGGCAUUCGGGUCGGAAAGCCCCGUCCUCCAGGAAGCUAAUGCCGGUACUUGAGGAGGAAGCCCCGGCUAAAUACGUGAAAGCAGCGGCGGUAAUACGCAGGGGGCUAGCGUUAUCCGGAAUUACGGGGCGUAAAGGGGGCGUAGGUGGUUUCUUAAGUCAGAGGUGAAAGGCUACGGCUCAACCGUAGUAAGCCUUUGAAACUGGGGAACUUGAGUGGAGGAGAGGAGAGUGGAAUUCCUAGUGUAGCGGUGAAAUGCAUAGAUAUUAGGAGGAACACCAGUUGCGAAGGCGGCUCUCUGGACUGUAACUGACACUGAGGCACGAAAGCGUGGGGAGCAAACAGGAUUAGAUACCCUAGUAGUC